rnacentral:lncRNA from 1 species
AGUUCGCUGGAAAUUAAAAGAUCACUGGAAAUUUACUAAGAUCACUGGGUUUUCGCUGGAUUUCCAUGGAAACUAAAGACUUCGCUGGAAGUUCGCUGGAAAUCCAACGAAAAACUUCCAGUGAUCUUAAAGUUCGCUGGAAGUUUACUGGGUUUCUUGCGAAAUAUUUCGCGGUGAUGUAAAAAGCGUUGCUGUUACAACUUCUGCAAGCAGUUAAUACUUGGAAAAUUGAUAAUAUAGCUUCUUAAAAUAAUAUUUCAAAUUUUUGUAUAAAAGUAAUCCUUUUUAUUUUAUUUUUUGCAUCUAAUAGAUGAUGUUGUUAAAGAUGUGUGAGUUUCAAUUAUUAUUAGUUCUACUCAAGUUACAAAACAAAAUCAUCUGGUAGUUUAAUGAUUAUAAUGGUUGCCAUUGGUGUUCUUCUCAAGGGGUAAAAGUUAAA